rnacentral:tRNA from 1 species
AGUAAAGUCAGCUAAUAAAGCUUUCGGGCCCAUACCCCGAAAAUGUUGGUUUAACACCCUCCUUUACCA